rnacentral:rRNA from 1 species
GAUGAACGCUAGCGGCAGGCCUAAUACAUGCAAGUCGAACGGGAUCUGAGGGUAGCUUGCUACCCGAUUUGAGAGUGGCGCACGGGUGCGUAACGCGUGAGCAACCUACCCAUAUCAGGGGGAUAGCCCGAAGAAAUUCGGAUUAACACCGCAUAAUAAUACGCUAACACAUGUUGAUGUAUUUAAAUAUUUAUAGGAUAUGGAUGGGCUCGCGUGACAUUAGCUAGUUGGUAAGGUAACGGCUGACCAAGGCGACGAUGUCUAGGGGCUCUGAGAGGAGAAUCCCCCACACUGGUACCGAGACACGGACCAGACUCCUACGGGAGGCAGCAGUAAGGAAUAUUGGUCAAUGGGCGCAAGCCUGAACCAGCCAUGCCGCGUGCAGGAUGACUGCCCUAUGGGUUGUAAACUGCUUUUGUUAGGGAAUAAACCUUCUUACGUGUAAGGAGCUGAAUGUACCUAAAGAAUAAGGAUCGGCUAACUCCGUGCCAGCAGCCGCCGUAA